UUACGUUGGUUUUUAAAACUUGUAGUUAGACUUUUUUUUUAGAUCGUGAUAGUAGUAGUAAGAGUUAGUUAGGAUGUUUUUGGGUUUUUUUUGUCAAGUAAUUGUUAAGUGUGAUACUUUAAAAAGAUCUACAAUGUACAUUACAACUACAAGUAAUGGUAGGCUAAUUUCAAAUCCCUUCAGAGUUCAGUUCGGGAUAUCAUUAUGUUCUGUUUAAUUCCUGGAUUUUCCUGCUUUUCUCAUGGUCCGUACGCCUUCUGUAUUUCCAAGACUCGUUAUGAAUUCCCACCCAGCCAUAUACACUGGAUGCCACUUAUUGUGAUUGCUUUGGGACCCAGUUGCAUUGAUAACAAUGAAUGAUAACUUUAACCAAUGAAAUAACAAUGAAAGCUGCUAAGGCUAUCAUCCAGUGCCACUAAUUUUGAACUAUUGACUAGAGGGAAGGCAACUGACUGACAGUACCCACCACCAACUCUGGCUACUUAAGUGUUAAAUAAAGUGCAAAUUUAUUACUCACUUUGCAUUGUAUAAUGUUUCUAAUUUGCAACUGGGUAACUGUAUUCUUUAAUGUUGCAUAGCUAAAUUUUAAAAAGUUAGCUGGUUUCAUACCAUUAUUGUAAAUAUGAAACAUUACUCCAGCUAAUGUGGAGCAAAAAUUGUUGCAUGCUAAUAUAAGAAUCUGAAUAGACUUUCUAGUUUUAUUCUUUUUUCAUUCGCUGGUGGUUUUCAAGCUUUUUAAUAUAUCAUUAUAACUAUCAAAAGUUUUAUUUUACAAAAUAAAUUAAUGUUGUUAUAAUUUUUAUGUUGUGUGACUAACUUUAGACUGCUUGAAGAAUUUCAUAAAAUACUAUGUUUUUACUUUUCUUAAGUAUUCAUUUGCCUAAUAAGUAAAAUCAGGUAUGAUUAUUCAUUUCACUAGGUUGUUUAAAAAUUUUUUAAAUAACUGCAUAGGUAUAGAUAUAAUGAUGAAGGCCCUAGGUUGUCAUAAACACACACAAACAUAUAAAACAAUACUAAUUUAUUUUGGAUAACCUUUAAGGAAAAGUGUACAUGGUACUAUUAAAAUGGUUGACUGACAAGUGAAUAAAUAAUUUAUUGUUUCUAAAUACUAAACAGUGCAGUUGCAUUGCCUGAAUGAUACAUUUUCAUGUACCAAGUUUAGGAUUAAAAAAAAUAAGUUAAUUCUAAAUUACUGUGCCUUAAAUCUGAAGACAGUUUCUUCUGACUUAUUUUUUUUUUGUUACUUAAUAAAAUUCUGAAAUUCCAAUUUUAGUCAUUUGUAUAUGUUAAUUCUAAGUAUAUUUCAACAAUUUUAGCUCAUAAAUAUUUUAGAAUCAAUAUUUUGUCAAUUUCUGACAUUUGUGCAGUAUAAUUCAUAAAACAAAAAUGUUCAUAUUUUCAUUUCUUGAACCUCCAAAGUGUUUUGCAUGUCAACAGAACAACCCACAUAUUGAUUUUUUUUUAAUUUUCCUUUCCAUCCUAUAGAAUAAUUUUUAUUUUUACUAAGAACCUAUCACUUUUUAGGAAUAUAUUUUCCAUUUGAUAUUAAAACAUUUCCUUCAGUUCAGCAGUUCUCAAACUGUGACUUGCAAACAUUUUGGGGUUUCUCGAAACAUUUCAGAGGGUUCUUGGAAAAAAUUCUAUAUUGGCGGAAGCAAAAGUUCACGUGCAUCCAUCACACUGAGUAAAUUAUAACUUUAAGACUCCUCGUGAAAAAUGGAAAAGUGAGAAGGGAUUAUUUUUUGCUGUUUUAAAAAUUAAAUAGACUGCUAGUGUUUUUAAAAUUAAGAUGAACAAGUUUAGGCUUAAUCAAAGUGAUACUAUUAUGAACAUAAAAUCUUGGAAGUGUUGCUGUUUUCAUAAUGUAAUAAUAAAUAAUGUAAUAAAAGUGUGAUAAGAAAAACAUA